GAAAUUCAAACAUAGACUUUCAAGAAAUUACAACAUAGACUUUCAAGAAAUUAAAUUACAACUAAAAUUUAUGGUCUUCCAAGGAAAUUGAGGGAGACUAUGGGGGUAAUUAGGUAACUAUAAAAUAUUUCGGGUGGGUGUAUGGGUUUCGGGUGUGGGUUUGACUGAUACCAAACCCACACCCAUAUUAUCAGGUGUCACCCGAACCCAAACCCAAACCCAGUCAAAUCGGGUUUCGCCCGUUGACUUGGGUUUGAGUUCGGGUGGGUCUCUCGGGUUUGGGUUUUUUUGCCAUCCCU
rnacentral:lncRNA from 1 species